GAUGAACGCUGGCGGCGUGCUUAACACAUGCAAGUCGAACGAUUAAAGCCCCUUCGGGGGUGUAUAGAGUGGCGAACGGGUGAGUAACACGUGGGCAAUCUGCCCCUCACUCUGGGAUAACUCAGGGAAACUUGAGCUAAUACCGGAUACUCCGGACUGACCGCAUGAUCGGUCCGGGAAAGCUCCGACGGUGAGGGAUGAGCCCGCGGCCCAUUAGCUAGUUGGUGAGGUAACGGCCCACCAAGGCGACGAUGGGUAGCCGAGCUGAGAGGCUGAUCGGCCACACUGGGACUGAGACACGGCCCAGACUCCUACGGGAGGCAGCAGUGGGGAAUUUUGCGGAAUGGGCGAAAGCCUGACGCAGCAACGCCGCGUGCGGGAUGAAGGCCUUCGGGUUGUAAAUCGCUUUCAGCAGGGAUGAAACUGACAGUACCUGCAGAAGAAGCCCCGGCUAACUACGUGCCAGCCGCCGCGGUAAUAC
rnacentral:rRNA from 1 species